AGUGAACGCUGGCGGUAGACCUAACACAUGCAAGUCGAACGGCAGCACAGUAAGAGCUUGCUCUUACGGGUGGCGAGUGGCGGACGGGUGAGGAAUACAUCGGAAUCUACUUUUUCGUGGGGGAUAACGUAGGGAAACUUACGCUAAUACCGCAUACGACCUACGGGUGAAAGCAGGGGAUCUUCGGACCUUGCGCGAUUGAAUGAGCCGAUGUCGGAUUAGCUAGUUGGCGGGGUAAAGGCCCACCAAGGCGACGAUCCGUAGCUGGUCUGAGAGGAUGAUCAGCCACACUGGAACUGAGACACGGUCCAGACUCCUACGGGAGGCAGCAGUGGGGAAUAUUGGACAAUGGGCGCAAGCCUGAUCCAGCCAUACCGCGUGGGUGAAGAAGGCCUUCGGGUUGUAAAGCCCUUUUGUUGGGAAAGAAAAGCAGCAGGUUAAGACCCCGCUGUUCUGACGGUACCCAAAGAAUAAGCACCGGCUAACUUCGU
rnacentral:rRNA from 1 species